UAUUUUAUUCAAGGUUUAUAUGGGUCUUGAUUUUCAGUGAUGGUUCUGAUUCUACUGAGUAUACAUGACUGAGAGACUUAGGCGAGGGUUUUGACACUAUCAGUUUUUUAUUUCAACACUCCUAUUCAUCCCUGAGUCAGAAAGGGCUACCUAGGAGGUUCCUCUGAAGUUCAUUUGCCUAAUUAGUAUGAACAAACCAACGGGAACCUGUAAACCCAUUUUUAUUUUAUUAUACCAUAUAUUCCUUAUGGAGGUCAUUAUUUUUAAAGUGUAACAUUUUAUUUAGAAGUUUUGAGGUGAGGAGAGUAAUGCACUCAAGAGAAAGCAGAGUGAAGAGAGAGCCCCAGCACAUAUCCCAGCAUUAAAAGUAUGAUGGGAAGAAAGCACACAUCCCAAGCCGGGAUAUGUGGGAGUUUGUCCUUGGGCAACACAGGUGCCCAGCAGGACACAUCUCAUAGGCAGCACAGGAGCCAUGAAGAUUAUGGUUUAGUUCUAGUUCUAGUUCAGCUCUCCAGGUACCUAGUAGGAUUAUGCUGAUUCCAUACUGAAGAGGUCCUAAAACACAUCUCCGCUUGCUAUCUCUCAGAAAUUAGUGCGGGCCUGCAUAUUCUCCUAGUUCUAAAAGACUGGUGUUUACCUAAAUCAGCACUGUGUUUUUCGAAGUAUAAAUAACACCUGGUAAUUAAGAAGGUAACAAGAUUUAAGAAAAACUGCAUGGAAACCAAAAUGAUCUCACCAUUCUGCUUUACAAUGUAGUUUCCAGAAAUUAACGAUGAUAAGAAUCAGGAAAUAACUAUGGUAAAUGUUUAUUAACUCUUAAAAUGCUUGAAAUUGGGUUUAAUAGUUUAUUAUGACUUAUAACUGUCAAUUUAAAAACAUCCAUCAAACCAUGUAGAAAUAAGUAUGCAAAAAAGUCUGCGAAACAAAACAUA